GGGGCUGAUCGGUUUCGACGUUGGGACCAGGAUGCUUAAGCGUGCGACCGGAGUUGCUCAGACUCCUUAAACAGGGCAAACACAGAGACGCCAAUACGGACGAUCUCACUCUCGCUGCCUGAUUUAGGUCAGUAAGUAGAGAGUCAUCGCGAGCAGCAAUGCCACGCGGGGCCUGACCAUCGCAGCCUGGCACCAGAAGCGUUGGUGGACAGUAGGGAAAGACCACUGACAGCCGGCAAAGACCGCUGACAUCGGAGAAAGAUCCGGCGGCGGGGCCUCGUGCCCACUCGACCCGACGAGCUGACUGCCGUGAGUCAGAAAUACGGGAAUGGUCGUAGCGCGUUGGGUGACCACCUGACGGACGAGGGUUCGAUUCCCUCCAGCUCCACGG
rnacentral:tmRNA from 1 species